rnacentral:rRNA from 1 species
UACGGGGGGGGCAAGCGUUGUUCGGAAUUACUGGGCGUAAAGGGCUCGUAGGUGGCCAACUAAGUCGGACGUGAAAUCCCUCGGCUUAACCGGGGAACUGCAUCCGAUACUGGUUGGCUUGAGUUUGGGAGAGGGAUGCGGAAUUCCAGGUGUAGCGGUGAAAUGCGUAGAUAUCUGGAGGAACACCGGUGGCGAAGGCGGGUCUCUGGACAGUUCCUGACGCUGAGGCACGAAGGUCAGGGGAGCAAACGGG